AUGCUGCAAUCCAUAUCAACAAACAUCAGUAGUAACCCAGUACCCAGUCCUACACAAAAAAUAUCUAGGAAAAAAAGAGAAUCUAUUAACACUUCUGUUGGGACCACAAGUGCAGUUAACUACACAUUUGAAGAAGCCGAGAGUAACUGUUCAGAUUACUUGAAGAACAGUAGGACAGUCAAAGCCUUCACAAAUCAACUUUCAGAUGACAGAGUUUAGCAGAGUGUCACCAACUGUGCUUUUGAUCUGGUGAGCACAGGACUGUUUGAUUGGGCUGUGUCACAUGUAAGCAACCUGGCAGAGGAGUGUAUCACACGAGCUGAACAAAACCAAAGUUCAUGGACAGGUGAAGGUGACACACCUGGUGAACCUGUACUUCCUCAAGCCAUUGUCACCCAGCUGUGUGUCAGGGACU